CCUACGGGUGGCAGCAGUGAGGAAUAUUGGUCAAUGGCCGUAAGGCUGAACCAGCCAAGUCGCGUGAAGGAAGAAGGAACUCUGGUUUGUAAACUCCUUUUAUAGGGGAAUAAAGGUAUCAAAGUGGUGAUAUUUGGAUGUACCCUAUGAAUAAGCAUCGGCUAACUCCGUGCCAGCAGCCGCGGUAAUACGGAGGAUGCGAGCGUUAUCCGGAUUUAGUGGGUUUAAAGGGUGCGUAGGUUGUUGUUUAAGUCAGGGGUGAAAGUUUGUGGCUCAACCAUAGAAUUGCAGUUGAAACUGGAAGACUUGAGUGUGUUUGAGGUAGGCGGAAUGCGUGGUGUAGCGGUGAAAUGCAUAGAUAUCACGCAGAACUCCGAUUGCGAAGGCAGCUUACUAGGCCAUAACUGACGCUGAAGCACGAAAGCGUGGGGAGCAAACAGGAUUAGAUACCCCAGUAGUC
rnacentral:rRNA from 1 species